rnacentral:misc_RNA from 1 species
CUCUAAAUUCUGACAAAUCUAAAAUUCACAUUCCAAUAAGAACAAGAACUGGAUUUCCACUAAAUUGCGCAAUUUGACACGCAAUUUAUUGAGAGAAAAAGAAAGGCCAAUUUGAAACUCAUAAAGCCACAGUAUCAGAAUCCAGAAAUAUUCAUAAAGCAGUGCACACUUCAUCAUCUAUCAUUUUUCAGGAACAAAGAAAUUCAACAAUAAAAUACAAAAAAAAAAGAUUAAGCAGCACACAACCCAAAUUAAAAGAAAUUACAAAAAUUCAAUCCAAAAUAACACUCCAAACAAAAUUAAAAAUUCAACGCACAGAACUACUGAACUAGCAUUUCACUAAACAGCCAAAACUCAGACUCAAACCAAGCCAAAUCUCCAAAUAGAAAUGAAUGAAGAGAGAGUCGAGAGGGAGAAACUGACUCCGCAAGGUCACCAAGCUGGCGCAAGACGCCAACA